rnacentral:rRNA from 1 species
UUAAGCGACUAAGCGUACACGGUGGAUGCCCUGGCAGUCAGAGGCGAUGAAGGACGUGCUAAUCUGCGAUAAGCGCCGGUAAGGUGAUAUGAACCGUUAUAACCGGCGAUUUCCGAAUGGGGAAACCCAGUGUGAUUCGUCACACUAUCAUUAACUGAAUCCAUAGGUUAAUGAGGCGAACCGGGGGAACUGAAACAUCUAAGUACCCCGAGGAAAAGAAAUCAACCGAGAUUCCCCCAGUAGCGGCGAGCGAACGGGGAGGAGCCCAGAGCCUGAAUCAGCAUGUGUGUUAGUGGAAGCGUCUGGAAAGGCGCGCGAUACAGGGUGACAGCCCCGUACACAAAAGCGCAUGUGCUGUGAGCUCGAUGAGUAGGGCGGGACACGUGGUAUCCUGUCUGAAUAUGGGGGGACCAUCCUCCAAGGCUAAAUACUCCUGACUGACCGAUAGUGAACCAGUACCGUGAGGGAAAGGCGAAAAGAACCCCGGCGAGGGGAGUGAAAAAGAACCUGAAACCGUGUACGUACAAGCAGUGGGAGCUGAGGGAAAGGCGAAAAGAACCCCGGCGAGGGGAGUGAAAAAGAACCUGAAACCGUGUACGUACAAGCAGUGGGAGCCCCACCACUAAGCCAGUGGUGAACUCCACAUACGCAUCCUUUGCUGAGGAUACGGUUAACGGAGCGCAAGCGACGUUCAACCGCAAAAGAAGCAGAGGGGGCUUAGUGGUGGGGUGACUGCGUACCUUUUGUAUAAUGGGUCAGCGACUUAUAUUCUGUAGCAAGGUUAACCGUAUAGGGGAGCCGGAGGGAAACCGAGUCUUAAUUGGGCGUUAAGUUGCAGGGUAUAGACCCGAAACCCGGUGAUCUAGCCAUGGGCAGGUUNGUAAUAGCUCACUGGUCGAGUCGGCCUGCGCGGAAGAUGUAACGGGGCUAAACCAUGCACCGAAGCUGCGGCAGCGAACGUAUCACUUAAAGCGAUUCAGCGGGUUACGAUUGACGGAGCGAAGCGACGUCAAAGCGUAUACAAAGUCGAGUCGGUUUAAGGAUACGUUCGUUGGGUAGGGGAGCGUUCUGUAAGCCUGUGAAGGUGUGUCGUGAGGCAUGCUGGAGGUAUCAGAAGUGCGAAUGCUGACAUAAGUAACGAUAAAGCGGGUGAAAAGCCCGCUCGCCGGAAGACCANAGGGAAACCGAGUCUUAAUUGGGCGUUAAGUUGCAGGGUAUAGACCCGAAACCCGGUGAUCUAGCCAUGGGCAGGUUGAAGGUUGGGUAACACUAACUGGAGGACCGAACCGACUAAUGUUGAAAAAUUAGCGGAUGACCUGUGGCUGGGGGUGAAAGGCCAAUCAAACCGGGAGAUAGCUGGUUCUCCCCGAAAGCUAUUUAGGUAGCGCCUCGUGAAUUCAUCUCCGGGGGUAGAGCACUGUUUCGGCUAGGGGGCCAUCCCGGCUUACCAACCCGAUGCAAACUGCGAAUACCGGAGAAUGUUAUCACGGGAGACACACGGCGGGUGCUAACGUCCGUCGUGAAGAGGGAAACAACCCAGACCGCCAGCUAAGGUCCCAAAGUCAUGGUUAAGUGGGAAACGAUGUGGGAAGGCCCAGACAGCCAGGAUGUUGGCUUAGAAGCAGCCAUCAUUUAAAGAAAGCGUAAUAGCUCACUGGUCGAGUCGGCCUGCGCGGAAGAUGUAACGGGGCUAAACCAUGCACCGAAGCUGCGGCAGCGAUGCUGGAGGUAUCAGAAGUGCGAAUGCUGACAUAAGUAACGAUAAAGCGGGUGAAAAGCCCGCUCGCCGGAAGACCAAGGGUUCCUGUCCAACGUUAAUCGGGGCAGGGUGAGUCGACCCCUAAGGCGAGGCCGAAAGGCGUAGUCGAUGGGAAACGGGUUAAUAUUCCCGUACUUGGUGUUACUGCGAAGGGGGGACGGAGAAGGCUAUGUUGGCCGGGCGACGGUUGUCCCGGUUUAAGCGUGUAGGUGUGUGUUCCAGGUAAAUCCGGUUCACUUUAACACUGAGGCGUGAUGACGAGGCACUACGGUGCUGAAGCAACAAAUGCCCUGCUUCCAGGAAAAGCCUCUAAGCAUCAGGUAACAUCAAAUCGUACCCCAAACCGACACAGGUGGUCAGGUAGAGAAUACCAAGGCGCUUGAGAGAACUCGGGUGAAGGAACUAGGCAAAAUGGUGCCGUAACUUCGGGAGAAGGCACGCUGACAUGUAGGUGAAGUGAUUUACUCAUGGAGCUGAAGUCAGUCGAAGAUACCAGCUGGCUGCAACUGUUUAUUAAAAACACAGCACUGUGCAAACACGAAAGUGGACGUAUACGGUGUGACGCCUGCCCGGUGCCGGAAGGUUAAUUGAUGGGGUCAGCGCAAGCGAAGCUCCUGAUCGAAGCCCCGGUAAACGGCGGCCGUAACUAUAACGGUCCUAAGGUAGCGAAAUUCCUUGUCGGGUAAGUUCCGACCUGCACGAAUGGCGUAAUGAUGGCCAGGCUGUCUCCACCCGAGACUCAGUGAAAUUGAACUCGCUGUGAAGAUGCAGUGUACCCGCGGCAAGACGGAAAGACCCCGUGAACCUUUACUAUAGCUUGACACUGAACAUUGAGCCUUGAUGUGUAGGAUAGGUGGGAGGCUUUGAAGUGUGGACGCCAGUCUGCAUGGAGCCGACCUUGAAAUACCACCCUUUAAUGUUUGAUGUUCUAACGUGGACCCGUAAUCCGGGUUGCGGACAGUGUCUGGUGGGUAGUUUGACUGGGGCGGUCUCCUCCUAAAGAGUAACGGAGGAGCACGAAGGUUGGCUAAUCCUGGUCGGACAUCAGGAGGUUAGUGCAAUGGCAUAAGCCAGCUUGACUGCGAGCGUGACGGCGCGAGCAGGUGCGAAAGCAGGUCAUAGUGAUCCGGUGGUUCUGAAUGGAAGGGCCAUCGCUCAACGGAUAAAAGGUACUCCGGGGAUAACAGGCUGAUACCGCCCAAGAGUUCAUAUCGACGGCGGUGUUUGGCACCUCGAUGUCGGCUCAUCACAUCCUGGGGCUGAAGUAGGUCCCAAGGGUAUGGCUGUUCGCCAUUUAAAGUGGUACGCGAGCUGGGUUUAGAACGUCGUGAGACAGUUCGGUCCCUAUCUGCCGUGGGCGCUGGAGAACUGAGGGGGGCUGCUCCUAGUACGAGAGGACCGGAGUGGACGCAUCACUGGUGUUCGGGUUGUCAUGCCAAUGGCACUGCCCGGUAGCUAAAUGCGGAAGAGAUAAGUGCUGAAAGCAUCUAAGCACGAAACUUGCCCCGAGAUGAGUUCUCCCUGAGACUUAAAGUCUCCUGAAGGAACGUUGAAGACGACGACGUUGAUAGGCCGGGUGUGUAAGCGCAGCGAUGCGUUGAGCUAACCGGUACUAAUGAACCGUGAGGCUUAACCUU